CUAUUCUUCAAGCUUUGCAAGUAUAUAACAAAACUACUCUUGUAUGGAUGCUUACUAUGACAAAGGAUCUUGGCAGUUUAUGCCUCCUAUUAUUGACAUUUUCUUUAUGCUCAUGGCCUGGGUCCCUAAACAUCAGUAAUGCACAACGGCAUUGUACAAACACUUAGGACUAAAGUAGUGAAGCAACACAUCAAAAUAUAUAAAGGAAAAUUCAAUUAAGGAUUAUAAGUUAUAUUUAGAUAUUUUAAUCCAAUCUCAUAGUAUUUUUCACAUGCAUCAUUUUCAUUCCUAAGAUCCAUUGUAUUUCUACAAAACUUAAUGCAACACAAGGAGUGACAUUGAUCUACAGCUUUAUAUAGGCACACCCUGAACAUGUGUUAAUCUCUUUCAAAUUCCCAGUCUAUAGUUUCUUCAUUUAGGCACACAUUGAACAUGUGUUAAUGGUCUCUUUUUAGAUUUCUACACCCAUUGCUUCCAUGCUCUAGAAACCUUAAGAUCCCGAAGAUUUGCAAUCUCAUUACUGAAUUGGGAAUAAUACACAUUUCAUAGCUCAUUUAGAAUCUACACACCACAGAUAGUUUGAACCUAGUCCAAAAUGGUUGAGAAAAGAUGUGUUGGCAAAGGAUAAAGCAAAAAAUCAGAAACCCCAUUGGCUAUUAAUGGAUUUAUAGCAUUGUAUGCUAAUUUUGAUAAGGAUGUGCUUGAUUCCCAAGUCACCCUUUUACCCUUAAGGAGCUGGUGGAGAAUUUUGAAAUAAGCUACACCAGGAUGUGAGUCUAUAUUUUUGAAAAAUUAAGGUAUGGAUGCUAGAGUGUUUUCUCUUUCUUCGGUGUUAAAUGUGUUGUUUGUCAUGCCUAGCAAUUGUGAGCAGAUCACCUUUGAAAGCUAGUAGAGGAAGAACUUGAAGAGGGGAAUUUGUGCAGUAGCUAAUUCUAACUUUAAGGCUUGGCAUUGCAGUCGCCAUUAUGCAUACCUGCAAAUGAAAGAAGUGCUAGAGUGUUAAUAAUGUUCAAUCAGCUAGUGGAAUGUGAAUGCUUUUGUUCAUCAUUCCUUGGUGAUUCUCCUUACAGCUUUGGAGGCUUUUAGUAAUAUGAUGACAUGUGAAAUGAACAAUAUCAGUUGGCGUAUCUGGUGCACUUUUUGAUCUAUUGGGAGCCAUGGUUUCUGAGCUUCUCCUUAAUUGGACAAUCUUUGCAAAAGAGCCUAGAGAAAUUUGGCAGAUAUGCAUAUGGAUGUAUUGAGCUAUUUAAUGGACAGAAGCCAUAUAGCCUUGUAGUCUGCCUUUCUGGAGCAUCAAUCGGCUGAAUGAUUAUGUCAAGUCUAUUUGCCUAUUCUUCAAGCUUUGCAAGUAUAAAAAAAAAAAAAAAAAAAAGGUACUCCUAUAUGGUGCACAGUGUGACAAAAGAUCUUGGCAAUUUAUGCCUCCCAUUGUCGGCGUUCGAUGCAGGCAAGCUUGCAGAUUGUGCAGCCACUUCGUUUAUGCUCAUGGUGUGUGGGUACCUAAAAUUCAGUAUUGCACAAUUAUGUUGUACAAACACUUAGGACUGAAGUAGUAAAUCCAACUAGGGAUUGUACAUUUUAUUUACACUUUUUUUAUAACAUUCUCAAAGUAUUUUUCAUAUGCAUCAUUUAUUCCUAAGAUCCAUUGUAUUUCAACAAUAUUCAAUGCAAGACAAGGAGUGACAUUGAUCUUCAGCUGUAUAUAA